AACGAACGCUGGCGGCAGGCUUAACACAUGCAAGUCGAACGCGUGUAGCAAUACACGAGUGGCGCACGGGUGAGUAACGCGUGGAUAUCUGCCUUUUGGUUCGGAAUAACCCCGGGAAACUGGGGCUAAUACCGGAUGGUUCCUUCGGGAUAAAGAUUUAUCGCCAAAAGAUGAGUCCGCGUCCGAUUAGCUAGUUGGUGAGGUAAUGGCUCACCAAGGCGACGAUCGGGAGCUGGUCUGAGAGGACGAUCAGCCACACUGGGACUGAGACACGGCCCAGACUCCUACGGGAGGCAGCAGUGGGGAAUAUUGGACAAUGGGGGCAACCCUGAUCCAGCCAGGCCGCGUGAGUGAUGAAGGCCUUCGGGUUGUAAAGCUCUUUUGGCGGGGACGAUGAUGUCGGUACCCGCAGAAUAAGCCCCGGCUAACUUCGUGCCAGCCGCCGCAGUAACAC
rnacentral:rRNA from 1 species